CCAUUCAGUCUUCCUUCAGUUUUUGAUUUACGCUAAGUUCCCACGAACGAACUGGAAACGUCUGCAGUCGUGUUGUUGUUGUUAAUUAUUAUCAUCAUUUUUAUUAUCAUGAUUAUCAGCAGCAGUAGUCUAAUGUCACAAGCAUGUUCUAGAUUAAGAUAUAAAUAGAGGCUCUAGCAUGGCUACAAGGUGAAUGUGGUGUCCUUUCCACGUAGCUCGGAUGUUGGGCAACGUCCUGGAACGAAAACAAAAACAAAACAACAAUCAAACAGUAAAGAAAUGUUGAUUUGUUGCCUCUAGUUCUCGCUUCACCGAUUUGUUCUACUGUGCCUGCAAGGAACUAGAUAAUCAAGCCUUAACUCUCUCGGUGCAAGAGUAUUCGCCGAGGGUCGUACAAAAACGUAGUCCAGUGAGUCAAUGCAGCGCAGAGUGCAAUGUAAUGAAUGAAUGCAGUGUGCAUGUUCUCGGUUAAUUAAUAAAUGACAUGUAGAUAUGACUAUAACAUAA